AGCUUUGCAAAGUGGUAGUAUCAUAACCAAUGAGGUUUAUCCAAGGUGCAAUUAUUGCUAUUAGGAAUUUAACUUCUCAGACAACCAUCACUGGUUAAAAAAAAUAUUAGUUUUCUGGCCAUACUUUACAUUUCACAGUG
rnacentral:snRNA from 1 species